rnacentral:rRNA from 1 species
GACGAACGCUGGCGGCGUGCUUAACACAUGCAAGUCGAACGAAGAGCGAUGGAAGCUUGCUUCUAUCAAUCUUAGUGGCGAACGGGUGAGUAACGCGUAAUCAACCUGCCCUUCAGAGGGGGACAACAGUUGGAAACGACUGCUAAUACCGCAUACGAUCCAAUCUCGGCAUCGGGACUGGAUGAAAGGUGGCCUCUAUUUAUAAGCUAUCACUGAAGGAGGGGAUUGCGUCUGAUUAGCUAGUUGGAGGGGUAACGGCCCACCAAGGCGAUGAUCAGUAGCCGGUCUGAGGGGAUGAACGGCCACAUUGGGACUGAGACACGGCCCAGACUCCUACGGGAGGCAGCAGUGGGGAAUCUUCCGCAAUGGACGAAAGUCUGACGGAGCAACGCCGCGUGAGUGAUGACGGCCUUCGGGUUGUAAAGCUCUGUUAAUCGGGACGAAUGGUUCUUGUGCGAAUAGUGCGAGGAUUUGACGGUACCGGAAUAGAAAGCCACGGCUAACUACGUG